rnacentral:rRNA from 1 species
GUCUACGGUCAUGCCACCCUCUGAAUAUGCCCAAUCUCGUCUGAUCUCAGAAGCUAAGCAGGGUUGGGCCUGGUUAGUACUUGGAUGGGAGACCACCUAGGAAGACUGGGUGCUGUAGGUG